rnacentral:rRNA from 1 species
CGAGUCGAACGGUAACGCGGGGCAACCUGGCGACGAGUGGCGAACGGGUGAGUAAUAUAUCGGAACGUGCCCAGUAGUGGGGGAUAGCCCGGCGAAAGCCGGAUUAAUACCGCAUGAGACCUGAGGGUGAAAGCGGGGGAUCGCAAGACCUCGCGCUAUUGGAGCGGCCGAUAUCAGAUUAGCUAGUUGGUAGGGUAAAGGCCUACCAAGGCAACGAUCUGUAGUUGGUCUGAGAGGACGACCAGCCACACUGGGACUGAGACACGGCCCAGACUCC